rnacentral:tRNA from 1 species
GUUGUUUUGGCAGAAUGAAUGUGAUAAAUUUAGAAUUUAUAAAUGUAAUUAGUUUACAAGCAACA